CUCACGAGCACUGACCUCGCUGACCAUCCACCAGAGGGUGGCUAUGAGCAGCAGCAGCAGCCAGGUGGAGCUGGGCUUUCUGCCAUCGGUGGGUGGCUAGUGGCUCUCCUGCUCUUUUCAAAGUGUUGUAUUAAUCCUGUGAUCCUCACAACAGAGCCUGCUGCACUUGAUGAUUACUCGCCGUGCUUGCCCCACGUGGUUGAAAGAGAAGAAAUCACUCUCAGUAUCUUCUGGAAGAAUCUGAAGAAACUGAAAGAUGGGCUUCACACACGCCCCAUGGGGACUGGUCGAAGUAAACUCAACAGUUUCAACUCUGAGAUUCCUUGUCAGGUCUGGUUCCAGCACGGCGUAUACGCAGGUCUUUAUGGUAGGAUAAAUGGUGUGUGUCAGCUGUGUCCCUGUUGGGCUGGGCAGUGGCAGUUUGGUUGGGCUCCAGCUAAACAUGGUCAAACCCCACAGCGUAGGAGAGGGUAGGAGGAAGAGACUGCUCCCACUAAGUGCUCCAGUGCGAUGGUGAAGGUGAACGUGGGUUAGGCUGCUUUCCUCGUGUUUCCCAGGUCAGAAUGGUCAUUGCUGUUUGCUCAAGCAAAGCCAGGGCUUUUCUCCCAGAAUAAGACUAAAGCCCUAUUAAAACCACCUAAUGACAACACAAAUCAUGUUGAACAGAAAGUAACUUGUGUUCCCUGCUUCGGAUUUUGAGGGUUGGGGGUUUUGUUCUGCUUUUCCCUUUCCUAAUUUGCCUGUGGGAAACUCUUGUCUCCUCCCAGCCUUACCAGCACAAACACACAAUAGCUUGUUGGUUUUUUUGCUUGGAAGGAGUUGCUGAGUGUUUGAAUAGCUGGAAUUGAGUUUAUUUUUCUUCUAUACUUUGGCUCAUUCAUUGCUACAGCAUCCAAAAUGUGAGGAUUUCCAAGAGGAUUGGAAUCUCACUCCUUUUUUUUUUUUCUAAAAGAUGUUCUGCAUCUUAAAUUUCAGCCCCCAGCCCCUAAUACUGCAGUAAAAUGCCAGCUUCAACCAAAUGAAUUCAUGUGCCAUUAAGCAAAUAUGAGCUGAGUAGAAGGACUAGAAAGAUCCGGUGAUAAUGUAGCCAGCUCAAAUGCAAAUGUAAAAGUCAAUUAUUUUUUAUGUCGAAGAGACUUGGAAAGUUCAGUAAAAACAGUGAACAAGAACUGAUAAAGAAAUAGGCUGUGUAGCUCUUGUACCUACUUAGUAUUAUAUAGGCAUGGUUUGGGCUUCUAUAGUAAGUGGAAAUAAAAGUCCACACAGUGAUUAGCAAAAUUCAACUUAAAAAAUAAAGCAUUGCCUAAAUCUG